rnacentral:rRNA from 1 species
CCUACGGGGGGCAGCAGUGAGGAAUAUUGCGCAAUGGAGGAAACUCUGACGCAGCCACGCCGCGUGGUGGAUGACACCCCUAUGGGGCGUAAACACCUUUUAUGAGAGAAGAAGUCCCUAUUCGAUAGGGUUUGACGGUACCUCAUGAAUAAGCACCGGCUAACUCCGUGCCAGCAGCCGCGGUAAUACGGAGGGUGCAAGCGUUGUCCGGAAUCACUGGGUGUAAAGGGUGUGUAGGCGGAGCUGUAAGUCAGAGGUGAAAUCCUGCGGCUUAACCGUAGAACUGCCUUUGAUACUGCAGCCCUUGAGUAUCGGAGAGGUUGCUGGAAUUCGUGGUGUAGCGGUGAAAUGCGUAGAUAUCACGAGGAACACCAGAGGCGUAGGCGGGCAACUGGACGAUUACUGACGCUGAGGCACGAAAGCGUGGGGAGCAAACAGGAUUAGAUACCCCCGUAGUC